rnacentral:rRNA from 1 species
CCUACGGGUGGCAGCAGUGGGGAAUAUUGGUCAAUGGACGAGAGUCUGAACCAGCCAAGUAGCGUGAAGGAUGACUGCCCUAUGGGUUGUAAACUUCUUUUAUAUGGGAAUAAAAUGUUCCACGUGUGGGAUUUUGUAUGUACCAUAUGAAUAAGGAUCGGCUAACUCCGUGCCAGCAGCCGCGGUAAUGCGGAGGAUCCGAGCGUUAUCCGGAUUUAUUGGGUUUAAAGGGAGCGUAGGUGGAUUGUUAAGUCAGUUGUGAAAGUUUGCGGCUCAACCGUAAAAUUGCAGUUGAAACUGGCAGUCUUGAGUACAGUAGAGGUGGGCGGAAUUCGUGGUGUAGCGGUGAAAUGCUUAGAUAUCACGAAGAACUCCGAUUGCGAAGGCAGUUCACUGGACUGCAACUGACACUGAGGCUCGAAAGUGUGGGUAUCAAACAGGAUUAGAUACCCGAGUAGUC